GUACUCUGCAACCCGAGUACAUGAAGCUGGAAUCGCUAGUAAUCGCGAAUCAGAAUGUCGCGGUGAAUACGUUCCCGGGUCUUGUACACACCGCCCGUCACACCAUGGGAGAUGGAUAUGCCCAAAGUCAGUGACCUAACCGCAAGGGAGGAGCUGCCUAAGGUGGAGCCAUUAACUGGGGUGAAGUCGUAACAAGGUACC
rnacentral:rRNA from 1 species